UACGGAGGGUCCAAGCGUUAAUCGGAAUUACUGGGCGUAAAGCGCGCGUAGGCGGUUUAAUAAGUUGUAUGUGAAAGCCCUGGGCUCAACCUAGGAACUGCAUACAAAACUAUUAAGCUUGAGGACGAGAGAGGAGAGUAGAAUUUCAGGUGUAGCGGUGAAAUGCGUAGAUAUCUGAAGGAAUACCAAUGGCGAAGGCAGCUCUCUGGCUCGUUUCUGACGCUGAGGUGCGAAAGCGUGGGUAGCAAAC
rnacentral:rRNA from 1 species